UAGUUCAAUGUCAUUUCAGUAUUCAGAUGGAAUGUUUGAAAACAUUUCGCACAAAAAAUUUAUAAAAACUUAAACAAUUACAAACUCUAGGCUGUUGCUGUGAUAACACUCUUCCGCUUUUCCGUGAAGAAUUCGGUUACGAUUACGUUGAAGAAUCACGCAACCAGUCACAAAGGAAUACGAACCAAAAUACCGUUGCUUUACAUUCAAAGCAUACACUGGAAGUUUUCCGCUUUAUUGCUUAUCUUUUUGGGCAGCUGUAGUACACAAAGUUAGAUCUUUUGUUCUGUAUGUUCGAGUAGUCAUUCGUUCGUUUUUUACGUGUAAAUCAGUGCUCCAGUAAAUUUAUAAUUUUACAGUUUCGAUUUUUUUUUUCCACUAAAAAAUUUUCCUUCUUGGAAUAUUGAAGUCUCAGAUAAAAUAAUUUUUGUUGACGCGAAAA